GUUUAGAAUUCUUAAGUUCAGAAUUGGUCUUAUUCCUCCAUCUUUUUUUGGCACGGCGAAGUACCUGGAGUAGAAUCCAUUUCUUAGAUCUGUUAUGGGCACGGGUUGGAUGGCAUGCCUGCGUAGAAGUGAUAGAAUUUCCUCUUCUAGAGCGAUGUCGAAGGAUGUGUGUCUUACAAACCCUAAGGGAGGUAACUCUAUAAAUUCUAGACGGUAGCCGUGUUGAAUGAUUUUUAAAACCCAGGAAUCGUUUGUGAUAGAGAUCCAGUUUGACAGAAAUGGUAGAAGUCUUGUAGUAUUUGUGUCUAGUGUGAUGCUUAUGGGAAAGUCAAAGGUACUGUUUGGAUUUUUUGGCAGGUGGUUUAUAGGACUGCCGAUGUUGUGACUGCUGAGACCGGUAACUGGGAGCAGAAGAUUCGAGAGGAUCUGUGUUGAGGUUUCAAAGAAGGGGCAGUAUCCGAUUUGGUCUUCACAACAGCUUUCUUAGAAGGGCCCGGCUUCUUGGUUGCUUUGGCAGAUGUCUUCGAUGGAGCAGGCUGAGGGGAAACAUUCGCCUCAGACCUUGGUGUUGCAGACGUUCGAGAAUGUUCCGAGAGGACUGACGCUGGCGCUGGAUUAACCCUUUCGUGUGCAUUCACAGAAGACCACGAUGAAGAAUGGUUGUUUCAUGUAUGUGAAAUGUGGCUGUUGAUGGAUGGUGUUGUGGAAUGUGAGAAGAGAGAGUUUUCUCUUUUUGAAAGGGGGGGAGAGGUUCACCCAGCUUCUCUAGAUGUUAAGAUGUAGAAGUUACCAGAAUGAUUACCUAGUUUAGCCUUUUAUUAUUUUAACCUAGGAAUAGCUUAUUUGAAUCAUGGUAACUGCCUGGAUAUGACAUGCUUUUAAGCUACAACUGUAUUUUAAUGGAACUACUUCAUUUUCUUAAUAAAAGAAUUAUUCUUCA